AUUGAACGCUGGCGGCAUGCUUUACACAUGCAAGUCGAACGGUAACAGGCCUUCGGGUGCUGACGAGUGGCGAACGGGUGAGUAAUGCAUCGGAACGUGCCCAGAGGUGGGGGAUAACGCAGCGUAAGCUGUGCUAAUACCGCAUGUGAUCUGAGGAUGAAAGCGGGGGACCAGGCAGCAAUGUUUGGCCUCGCGCCUUUGGAGCGGCCGAUGUCAGAUUAGGUAGUUGGUGGGGUAAAGGCCUACCAAGCCGACGAUCUGUAGCUGGUCUGAGAGGACGACCAGCCACACUGGGACUGAGACACGGCCCAGACUCCUACGGGAGGCAGCAGUGGGGAAUGUUGGACAAUGGGCGCAAGCCUGAUCCAGCAAUGCCGCGUGAGGGAAGAAGGCCUUCGGGUUGUAAAACGCUUUUGUACGGAACGAAAAGGCUCUGGCUAAUACCUGGGGAUGAUGACGGUACCGUAAGAAUAAGCACCGGCUAACUACGUG
rnacentral:rRNA from 1 species